AUUGAACGCUGGCGGCAGGCCUAACACAUGCAAGUCGAGCGGAGCGGCGGACGGGUGAGUAAUGCCUAGGAAUCUGCCUGGUAGUGGGGGAUAACGUCCGGAAACGGGCGCUAAUACCGCAUACUAUCAGAUGAGACUAGGUCGGAUUAGCUAGUUGGGGGGGUAAAGGCCUACCAAGGCGACGAUCCGUAACUGGUCUGAGAGGAUGAUCAGUCACACGGGAACUGAGGCACGAGCCAGACUCCUACGGUAGGAAGCAGUGGGGAAUAUUGGCCAAUGGGCGAAAGCCUGAUCCAGCCAUGCCGCGUGUGUGGAGAAGGACUUCGGAGUGUAAAGCUCUUGAAGUUGGGAGGCGUUACCAACAGAAUAAGCACCGGCUAACUUCGUGCCAGCAGCCGCGUAAUUC
rnacentral:rRNA from 1 species